GGUUAAAAUGGCAGAUAAUGUAUAUAGAGUUAAGUUCUAUAAAAGAUUUAAAUCUUUUAAUAA
rnacentral:tRNA from 1 species